CUAUGAAUCACCUAGAGAUCUUGAUAAAUCACAGAUUCUGAUUCAGUACGUCAGGGAUAGCAUCUUAGAUUCUGCAUUUCUAGUAAGUUCCCAGGUGAUUCCAGA
rnacentral:pre_miRNA from 1 species